GGUUGGUAAACAGUCUCCAGUUGCACAAUUAUUACCAGCAAAACAUCUUUCUCCCUGCAGUUCAUAGUUUGUGAUGGACAAUGAAUAUGCAUGGAGAGGGAAAUGGUGGAGAUGAGCCUGGAGCUUGUGAACGUGCAGAAUCAGUACAGAUCAACUCUACCAACUCCUGUUUUGGCACCUAGUCCCACCUUUGCUCCUGGGAUCAUGAAUGAAAGAGAUUCAUCUAAUUCCUGAAGAGACGGCUCCUCUUCCUAUAAAAGCUCACCUGUGGACACAGUCUGCAGAAAAAGAAAACAAAAGAUUCAAAAUGUACCAUGGGUUACAUAGAUAUAAAUCUAAUUGGAUAAGUCCCAGUGUUGAUGAUGAGGAAACUGCAGAAAACGGAUUCUAUCCACAGACUAUAAACAGUGGAGUGUUGGUCUUCUAAGUUUAAGACCCAAAAGCCACCUGACUCGUUGUAGUAAUGCUGUGGAGAGACCCACGUGACAAGGAACCGAAAUCUCUGGCCAACAGCCAGCGAGGAACACAAGCCAGCUAGCAAACACUGGGGGAGCUUGGAAGUGGGUUCUCCGGGCCCAACAACAGACAGCUAAUAUAAGAAGAAAAGCAAGACAUGAAGUGGAGGAGAACAAAGACAGUCUGAAACCCUUAAGGAUAAGCUGGAACCAAAGGACAGACUGGAACUUGCAUGGGUCUUACGCUCCUUCUAAGCCUUCAUCUUUGAUGAUGCAUGAUCUGCAGGAGAAACUGGGACCUUUCAUCACAAAGCUAAACAAGCACAUGACUCAGUUGCUGGAGAGGCUGAAGGAAGAUUCAGCAGGAGCUAGAGUGGCUACAGGCCUGGCUGCCACACUGUGCCAUCAAGCUUGGCUUAGAAAAUCCAGCAGAUAACUCUGAGGAGAGCAUGGAGCCCGAUGGAAGGAGUCUAGACCUGCAUAUCCAUCUGAGAUGGAAACCCCUUCCAGCCUGCACUGUUUUGUGAUAUGACUGAGAAAUAAAUCUAUAUUGUGUUAAGCCACCAAG
rnacentral:lncRNA from 10 species